rnacentral:RNase_P_RNA from 1 species
AGUAAGCUAGGCAAUCGCGCAUGGCGAAAGCUGUGUGAGGAAAGUCCGAACUCCAUAGAGCAGGUUAACGGUUAACAACCGCCGAGGGUGACCUUAGGGAUAGUGCAACAGAGAUAUACCGCCUCAAUUUGAGGUAAGGGUGGAAAGGCGAGGUAAGAGCUCACCGGCAUGCGGGAGACCGCAUGGCCAUGUAAACCCUAACCGGAGCAACACCGUAUGGUAAAAAAUGUGCUUGCUCGGCACAAAAAUAGGUGGCACCGAGCUGCGGUGGUAACACCCAGCCAAGAUAGAUGAUUGCCCACGACAGAAUUCGGCUUAUCGGUUUACUCAU